AUACUUACCUGGACGGGGUUUAUGGGUGAUCAAGAAUGCCCAUUGCCUAGGUUGGUGAAUUCAUUGCCCUUGGGAGGGUUGUCCACCUAACAUCUUCCCAAGUGGGAGAGUGUACGUCAUAAUUUGUGGCAGAGGGGCUACGCUUUCGCAGCCCCUA